rnacentral:rRNA from 1 species
GACAGAGGGGGCAAGCGUUGCUCGGAAUCACUGGGCGUAAAGGGCGCGUAGGCGGUUCGGUAAGUCAGGUGUGAAAUCUCCACGCUCAACGUGGAGGCGCCACCUGAAACUGCCGUGACUCGAGUCCGGUAGGGGAGUGUGGAAUUCCCGGUGUAGCGGUGAAAUGCGCAGAUAUCGGGAGGAACACCAGUGGCGAAGGCGGGUCUCUGGGCAGUAACUGACGCUGAGGAGCGAAAGCGUGGGGAGCGAACAGG